GAAAUGUUUUAUUAUAGUGAGGUGACAUGUUUUAUUGUAGUGAGGUGAAAUGUUUAUUAUAGUGAGGUGAAAUGUUUAUUAUAGUGAGGUGAAAUGUUUAUUAUAGUGAGGUGAAAUGUUUAUUAUAGUGAGGUGAAAUGUUUAUUAUAGUGAGGUGAAAUGUUUAUUAUAGUGAGGUGAAAUGUUUAUUAUAGUGAGGUGAAAUGUUUAUUAUAGUGAGGUGAAAUGUUUAUUAUAGUGAGGUG